GCAGAGAAAGUGUGAGCUUCAGGUAAUAUUCCGUGCGUAUAUAAUAUUCGCGAUGGACGGCUAUUUCAGUCCGGCAGAUUUACAGGCUCUCCAAAAUUUAAUUUGUCCAUCGAAGGACGACUCCGACAGCGAGAAUGAUCUACCGCAGGCGGGUGCGAGGAAGUUGGGACCUAGUGAUAUUGGCACGCCGAGUGAUCCUCCCCAGGAUCAUUUGGGACCUCAUGCACUCCUGCAAAGCAAAGGUGACGAUAUUUGGCAUCCCUCGGAGGCGGUUGACACUCAGAGCUUGCAGGAUUACGACCCUAGAAAGGUGCCCGAAUACGAGAUGAAGUUUAAACAGGCAGUGACAGCUGAAGAUGUUUAUUUAGGAAUGGGCUUUAAAACGCCGAGCACGGCGUCCUGUGAGUGGCUGUCGGUGCUGGUGAAAUUGCCCCAGGAAAUGCGGGAAAAAGUCGAGCUCUCCGUGGAAUCUGAGGCGAUUGACGUGCGCAGUCCAAGAUAUCGGCUGCAUCUACCGACACCACAUUCGGUGGAUCCCAACGCGUCCUCCGCCAAAUGGCACAGUGAUACUUCCACUCUAGAGGUCACUCUGAAACUCACACGUGAGCUGGAUAACGUAAACUUUUGAUUUUGGAUCGAUGCGUCGUCACUCUGGAUCGCCUAUCGAAGCAACUUAUGGCGUACAACUAUCAGGGAUAGACCGGCACGAUCGUACUGUGAGACAAUCGUUCGGACGAUUGUACUUGACGAGGACUUCCUGGAUUUUGAUAGCAGGCACUCCAGGAGGAUGCUAGAGAAUGCACUUGCAUCCUCGUUCAAGAGAAUAGAAGUUAAAUCACAAGUUGAUCUUCAUUUCCA